GUGCAAUAACUAACUCAUUUUUAUUCGCCCAUUCAGGUUUUCCAUGUUUAGCCCAACAAGUAUCCACAGUAUGAUUUGGUUUGCCACAAUAAGAGCAUUGGCAAGAAGACU